rnacentral:rRNA from 1 species
UACGGAAGGGGGCUAGCGUUGUUCGGAUUUACUGGGCGUAAAGCGCACGUAGGCGGACUAUUAAAGUCAGGGGUGAAAUCCCGGGGCUCAACCCCGGAACUGCCUUUGAUACUGGUAGUCUUGAGUUCGAGAGAGGUGAGUGGAAUUCCGAGUGUAGAGGUGAAAUUCGUAGAUAUUCGGAGGAACACCAGUGGCGAAGGGCGGCUCACUGGCUCGAUACUGACGCUGAGGUGCGAAAGCGUGGGGAGCAAACAGG